CCGCUUGAAGAUGAAGAACUGGUGGAGUACAUCAUCACCGUCCUAGGAGAGGAGUUUUAACCACUUGUAGCCGCAUUGUGCACAAGGGUAGAACCCAUCUCGGUUGGGGAAUUGUAUUCUCAACUCCUCAGCUUUGAGA